rnacentral:rRNA from 1 species
UGCGUAGGCGGGUUUCUAAGUCAGAGGUGAAAGCCUGGAGCUCAACUCCAGAACUGCCUUUGAUACUGGAAGUCUUGAGUAUGGCAGAGGUGAGUGGAACUGCGAGUGUAGAGGCGAAAUUCGUAGAUAUUCGCAAGAACACCAGUGGCGAAGGCGGCUCACUGGGCCAUUACUGACGCUGAGGAGCGAAAGCGUGGGGAGCGAACA